AAUGUUGACCCAAAUGUUUUAGUCACUUUGAAGUGUGGCAAUUUUCAGGCCGAAACAAAAUAGAAACACUGAAGGACAAUGGAGACCUGUGGCCGUGCUGCUGUAACUCUCUUUCUAUCUCCAUGGCUGAGGGGCUAGCCACAGAAACAGGAACCAACGCAUUCCUACAAUGAGAGAUGGGCAUAUACAGUCACGAUUUCAUGAACUGCCACGACCCUGGGCCGCUCUGGGGGGCACAACAACGGGGAAGUGAAACGCCACACGUGGGAUGGUAACAGCAACUCGCACCGGGACUCGAUCCACAGUCUCUGGGGGACGCAACAACGGGGAAAUGGAACACCACACGCCGGCCACAACAACGGGACAGUUGUGGUUAGGUAAAAAAGAACGGGGAAAAGAACUGCAACACACGGGACACAAUCCCCGGUUUCCAGGGUGAAAGUCCUGUGUUGUUUGACCCCUCCACUACCCUGACCAACCUCCCUGUGCAGACUUUCGGCUUUUCAAUACUACUCGCUACCGUA